GCUGACGAGUGGCGGACGGGUGAGUAAUGUCUGGGAAACUGCCUGAUGGAGGGGGAUAACUACUGGAAACGGUAGCUAAUACCGCAUAACGUCGCAAGACCAAAGAGGGGGACCUUCGGGCCUCUUGCCAUCGGAUGUGCCCAGAUGGGAUUAGCUAGUAGGUGGGGUAACGGCUCACCUAGGCGACGAUCCCUAGCUGGUCUGAGAGGAUGACCAGCCACACUGGAACUGAGACACGGUCCAGACUCCUACGGGAGGCAGCAGUGGGGAAUAUUGCACAAUGGGCGCAAGCCUGAUGCAGCCAUGCCGCGUGUAUGAAGAAGGCCUUCGGGUUGUAAAGUACUUUCAGCGGGGAGGAAGGGAGUAAAGUUAAUACCUUUGCUCAUUGACGUUACCCGCAGAAGAAGCACCGGCUAACUCCGUGCCAGCAGCCGCGGUAAUACGGAGGGUGCAAGCGUUAAUCGGAAUUACUGGGCGUAAAGCGCACGCAGGCGGUUUGUUAAGUCAGAUGUGAAAUCCCCGGGCUCAACCCUGGGAACUGC
rnacentral:rRNA from 1 species